CACAUAAAACUCGAUACAGUGUAGAAUGUUCUUUUGCGAUCACACGCAAUCAAUACAACUUUCAACAACGGAUCUCUUGGCUCUCGCAUCGAUGAAGAACGCAGCGAAAUGCGAUACGUAAUGUGAAUUGCAGAAUUCAGUGAAUCAUCGAAUCUUUGAACGCACCUUGCGCCCCUUGGCAUUCCGAGGGGCACACCCGUUUGAGUGUCGUGAAAUCCUCAAAAACCCUUUUCCUGUCAGGAAUGGGAUUUUUGGACUUGGAGGUUCAAUGCUUGCCUUUCACUUUUGAAAGUGAGCUCCUCUCAAAUGAAUUAGUGGGGUCCGCUUUGCUGAUCCUUAACGUGAUAAGAUGCUUCUACGUUUUGGAUCUAGCACUGUCCCUUGGAUGCCUGCUCCUAACUGUCCCACACGGACAAUGAUGGUGCUCUGGUCACCGCCAUCUACAUUGGCGGGAGGCUGGACCCACAAAACGAAAACCUUGACCUCAAAUCGGGUGAGACUACCCGCUGAACUUAAGCAUA
rnacentral:misc_RNA from 1 species